rnacentral:lncRNA from 1 species
GCAGCACCUGGGAACUUGCUGGAAAUUUGAAUUCUUCAACCCACCCCAGACCCACUGAAUAGAAGCUUUGGAGGGUUCAGCCCAGCACUCUGUGUUUUAAUGGGCCCUUUGGGUAUCCUGACGCAGUGAAGUUUGAGAACUUCUGCCUCAGUGGACAAACAAGAAUGUCUGGAAGGAAGAAAAAAUAUCCACAAAACUGACAAAAAUUUUUAAAUGCCAUGUUAAGGCUGGGUGCAGUGGCUCAUGCCUAUAAUCCCAGUACUUUGGGAGGUGGAGGCAAGAGGAUUGCCCGAGCCCAGGAGUUUGAGACCAGCCUGGGCAACAUAGGGAGAGUCUAUCUCUACAAAACAAAUAAAAGUUAGCCAGGCAUGGUGACAUGUGCCUGUAGUCCCAGCUACUUGGGAGGGUGAGAUGGGAGGAUCACUUGAGACCAGGAGAUGGAGGCUGCAGUGAGCCAUGGUCCUGUCACAGCACUCUAGUCUAGGUAACAGAGCAAGACCCUGUCUCCAAAAAUAAAAAUAAAAAAAUAAAAAGGCCAUGUUAAUCCUAAUACUGAGUUCCAGCUUUACUUAUCCAGCUGUAUGAAACUGAAAUAAGAACAUCAGGGUGAGGGAACUGGCUCUCUCGGGAGAGGGGAAAUCCUGUUUCUUCUUCAUCACUGACCACUUGCUUCAAUCUGGCUGUUCCUGUCAGGCUGGUGUGAAAUGAAUUAGCAAUGUCACCAGCUUUCCAAGGAGCAGGUGUCUCUGCCAUACCUCCGGCAACCCGUACCAUGACUUUCACUAAUUGGUCUGCCCUCGUCAGGCCCUUUGAGGAUCACAGGGACUAAGUGGGCCCUGGAGAUGAAGUGACCCUUUACCUGCUCCGAGCUGCCUUUAAUCCCAGCCACAUGCCCCCAUCCCAGUGGAGCCCCAGAGCACGGGAAAUACGAGGCACCACAGUAGCAAUGUAGAAGCAUGAGUCAUUGCUGAAGCUUGUGGGAGGAAAACUAGAAUUCAGGCCUUCUGCUCUAAUGACACUUGAUUUUUGCCCAUUGUGAACAAGGACUCUUAUGGUCGAUGGUAUCCUCGGCAUCUGCCCACUCUGCUGCGGGAUCCAGUAGCUGGUAUUGCUGGAGAAAUUCACACAGAAGGGGAAUCACUUCUUCUUAAAAUGAAAAUUUGGGCCAGGUGCAGUGUCUCACGCCUGUAAUGACAGCACUUUGGGAGGCCGAGGCGGGCAGAUCAUGAGGUCAGGAGAUCGAGACCAUCCUGGCUAACAUGGUGAAACCCUAUCUCUGCUAAAAAUAAAAAAAAAAUUAGCCAGGCGUGGUGGUGGGCACCUGUAGUCCCAGCUACUUGGGAGGCUGAGGCAGGAAAAUGGUGUGAACCCGGGAGGCAGAGCUUGCAG